GAGCUGUCCGGUAAUAGAAAGAAGCUGCAGAACCCUGUUGUCUUCAUCUUUUGUUUAACUCAUGCAACAUUUGAAAGCACGUUUGCCUACAAGAAAUAAAACUUACUUGUGAAAUGGCUUAUUAAUGAACUCAGAUGACAAGUAACCAAAACAGCGGGCCUGGCUGAAGGAUUCAUCCCUAGCCCUGAAAGCCAGCGGGGUCUUUCUGUAACAUCAAAGGCACAAACAAUUGAACCGACAAGGGGAUUUAUUCUGUCCAGCAGCCCUGGUGCCCUCAGACCAUCCCAAGCAAGGGUAACCUACCAAGAUGACCAAGUGGAAUACCUUUUAAAGACUUCAAGACUUUUCUUUCCCACUCCUCCCUGCCCACUCAAGGGAGGCUCCAUUUUAAAAUGUAACAGAAAAAAAAAAAAACGGAUUUGAAAUAAGGCAUUAGCCUGAGGUAACUUACCCCCACCUUGGCUCCAGAGCAGCUUGGAUUUCCGAUUCUUUGAGCAGGUCAGUGAUUUGGGGAACCAAUAAAAGAGCCGGGCUAUUCUUCUGAAGGUCUCAUGAACGUCACUUCUUAUGGCCAUAGUGAGAACCAGGAGUGUUCCAGAAUGACUCGCUACAGA
rnacentral:lncRNA from 1 species